CCUACGGGAGGCAGCAGUGGGGAAUAUUGGGCAAUGGGCGCAAGCCUGACCCAGCAACGCCGCGUGAAGGAAGAAGGCUUUCGGGUUGUAAACUUCUUUUAAUGGGGAAGAGCAGAAGACUGUACCCAUAGAAUAAGCCACGGCUAACUACGUGCCAGCAGCCGCGGUAAUACGUAGGUGGCAAGCGUUGUCCGGAUUUACUGGGUGUAAAGGGCGUGCAGCCGGGAAUGCAAGUCAGAUGUGAAAUCCAUGGGCUUAACCCAUGAACUGCAUUUGAAACUGUAUUUCUUGAGUACUGGAGAGGCAAUCGGAAUUCCUAGUGUAGCGGUGAAAUGCGUAGAUAUUAGGAGGAACACCAGUGGCGAAGGCGGAUUGCUGGACAGCAACUGACGGUGAGGCGCGAAAGUGUGGGGAGCAAACAGGA
rnacentral:rRNA from 1 species